GCUACAUUAGGUGUAGGUAAGACGCACACUCACUGCUUCCCUGGUGCUUGUGUUCUCAAUGUUUCUGUGCAGGUGCCUGGGAUAAUGAAGACAAUUUGGGUUGUCAUGUUUCACGCCAGGUGAACAACAUCAGAGUGCGGCAGUCAGAGAUCCUAAAGAAGGACUCCAUAUGUUUAGUCGAGACAGUACGCCGUACAUCUCUUACGACGAGGAUAUUUGUUUCAGGACCGCUUUCCCGAUACUGACAAGGACAUUUAAGCAAUUAUGUGAGCUGCAGUCUGGAUCCUGCUUCUGUCAGAUGACCUAACACAAAUAGAAAGAUGACAUCGACCCUUGCAAGGACUUCAGACGAUGCCAGCACUGGACUACAUACAGUGGUAAUCAUAUUUUCAGUAGUCCGUGUCAAAUUUUAUUUCAAGUGUUUGGGUGAGAUCUAGACCAAGGACUAAGGCAUAUACUAGGACAGAACUAAGUGUUGUGGCCCACAGGUGA